GGCCGCGGGAAUCCCAUUAAAGCCUAACACAUGCAAGUCGAGCGGUAGAGAGAAUCUUGCUUCUCUUGAGAGCGGCGGACGGGUGAGUAAUGCCUAGGAAUCUGCCUGGUAGUGGGGGAUAACGUUCGGAAACGGACGCUAAUACCGCAUACGUCCUACGGGAGAAAGCAGGGGACCUUCGGGCCUUGCGCUAUCAGAUGAGCCUAGGUCGGAUUAGCUAGUUGGUGAGGUAAUGGCUCACCAAGGCUACGAUCCGUAACUGGUCUGAGAGGAUGAUCAGUCACACUGGAACUGAGACACGGUCCAGACUCCUACGGGAGGCAGCAGUGGGGAAUAUUGGACAAUGGGCUAAAGCCUGAUCCAGCCAUGCCGCGUGUGUGAAGAAGGUCUUCGGAUUGUAAAGCACUUUAAGUUGGGAGGAAGGGCAUUAACCUAAUACGUUAGUGUUUUGACGUUACCGACAGAAUAAGCACCGGCUAACUCUGUGCCAGCAGCCGCGGUAAUACAGAGGGUGCAAGCGUUAAUCGGAAUUACUGGGCGUAAAGCGCGCGUAGGUGGUUUGUUAAGUUGGAUGUGAAAUCCCCGGGCUCAACCUGGGAACUGCAUUCAAAACUGACUGACUAGAGUAUGGUAGAGGGUGGUGGAAUUUCCUGUGUAGCGGUGAAAUGCGUAGAUAUAGGAAGGAACACCAGUGGCGAAGGCGACCACCUGGACUAUACUGACACU
rnacentral:rRNA from 1 species